CACGUAGGGUGCGAGCGUUGUCCGGAAUCAUUGGGCGUAAAGCGCGCGUAGGCGGCCAGAUAAGUCCGGUGUGAAAGUCACAGGCUCAACCUGUGAAUGCCGCUGGAAACUGUCUGGCUUGAGUCCGGAAGGGGCGAGUGGAAUUCCUGGUGUAGCGGUGAAAUGCGCAGAUAUCGGGAGGAACACCUGUGGCGAAGGCGGCCCCCUGGUUGGAUACUGACGCUGAUACGCGAAAGCGUGGGGAGCAAACAGG
rnacentral:rRNA from 1 species